rnacentral:rRNA from 1 species
ACUCCUACGGGAGGCAGCAGUGGGGAAUAUUGGACAAUGGGGGCAACCCUGAUCCAGCCAUGCCGCGUGAGUGAUGAAGGCCCUAGGGUUGUAAAGCUCUUUCAGCGAGGAGGAUAAUGACGUUACUCGCAGAAGAAGCCCCGGCUAACUUCGUGCCAGCAGCCGCGGUAAUACGAAGGGGCUAGCGUUGUUCGGAAUCACUGGGCGUAAAGCGCACGUAGGCGGAUUGAUAAGUUAGGGUGAAAUCCCGGGGCUCAACCUCGGAACUGCCUUUGAUACUGUCAGUCUUGAGUCCGAGAGAGGUGAGUGGAACUCCGAGUGUAGAGGUGAAAUUCGUAGAUAUUCGGAAGAACACCAGUGGCGAAGGCGGCUCACUGGCUCGGUACUGACGCUGAGGUGCGAAAGCGUGGGAGCAAACAGGAUUAGAUACCCUGGUAGGAUAGCG